GUCAGUAGCUGUACCAGCUGCAGUUCAGACUAGAUAAUAUACCUGAAGCUAAGCAAGUUUGAGCCUGGCCAGUGUUUGGAUGGGAGACCAACUAGGAAAAUGGGAUUGCUGCUGGAN
rnacentral:rRNA from 1 species